UGCAAAUACUUUGAAUAAGCCUCUUAAGAACGUUUUUAUUUCAGUGCUCUAGAUACCGAAUCCGAGAAAAUUGUACAAGAAGCUUUGGAAAAAGCCAGGAGAGGCAGAACGGUGAUAGUUAUUGCUCAUAGACUGUCGACUAUUCAAAAUGCUGACAUCAUUGUCGUUUUACACAAAGGAAAGAUUGUCGAGACCGGAACACACGAGUCCCUAAAAAAAUUGAGAGGCUAUUACUGGUCCCUGGUGUAUCAACAAGAAAAUAGUCCUGCCGCCUAGAAGAUAAAUAGCUAAAUUUUUGUUGACACUUGUAAAUACAUGUUAAAAACAAAUAUAUUUAAUUCGUUAUCAA